rnacentral:lncRNA from 1 species
ACCAGGCCAGCGACCCUGCCGACGACUCUCAGUCCUUUCCUCUCCACACCCGGGGAUGAGCCGGGCUCUCUCAGCUUACAUUUGGACUGUUGACAGAUCGAAGCUCAAACAGCUGGAUGACGACUGCACGGCUGUUUCACAUCUGGAGGACGCCUUCAGCUGCAAGGGACAGACAACCGCUGCUUAAUAUCAGGUGGACACCAGGAGAACCGACCAGUUCUGGUCUCCUGGUGCUGGAAACAAUCACGUGUGGAGCUUCGGUGCGUCAGCGGAGGAAGAACCUACAUUAAACACCAGAGGAAGAUGAUGAAGUUUGCCUGAUAUUCACUGAGACAAAAUGGAAAAAUAAACAAAGCUGUGCUGAAAGACAUAGCUACGCAGUGCUAACGCUAAUGAUGCGCACGUCUCGAAGCAUAGCAGAUAUAACUAAGGCAUAAACUGGAGGAAAAUGAA